rnacentral:rRNA from 1 species
AUUAAACGCUGGCGGCAUGCCUUACACAUGCAAGUCGAACGGCAGCACGGGGGCAACCCUGGUGGCGAGUGGCGAACGGGUGAGUAAAGCAUCGGAACGUGCCCUGGAGUGGGGGGAUAACGUAGCGAAAGUUACGCUAAUACCGCAUAUUCUGUGAGCAGGAAAGCAGGGGAUCGCAAGACCUUGCGCUCUGGGAGCGGCCGAUGUCGGAUUAGCUAGUUGGUGGGGUAAAGGCCUACCAAGGCGACGAUCCGUAGCGGGUCUGAGAGGAUGAUCCGCCACACUGGGACUGAGACACGGCCCAGACUCCUACGGGAGGCAGCAGUGGGGAAUUUUGGACAAUGGCGAAAGCCUGAUCCAGCCAUGCCGCGUGAGUGAAGAAGGCCUCGGUUGUAAG